UACGGAGGGUGCGAGCGUUGUCCGGAAUCACUGGGCGUAAAGGGCGCGUAGGCGGUUCGGCAAGUGUGCGGUGAAAGCCCGGAGCUUAACUCCGGGUCUGCCGUGCAAACUGCCGUGACUAGAGGACUGUAGAGGCAGGUAGAAUUCCGGGUGUAGCGGUGGAAUGCGUAGAGAUCCGGAAGAAUACCGGUGGCGAAGGCGGCCUGCUGGGCAGUCACUGACGCUGAGGCGCGACAGCGUGGGGAGCAAACAGG
rnacentral:misc_RNA from 1 species